rnacentral:rRNA from 1 species
UACGAAGGGGGCUAGCGUUGCUCGGAAUCACUGGGCGUAAAGCGCACGUAGGCGGCUUUCUAAGUCAGGGGUGAAAUCCUGGAGCUCAACUCCAGAACUGCCUUUGAUACUGGAGAGCUGAGUCCGGGAGAGGUGAGUGGAGCUCCGAGUGUAGAGGUGAAAUUCGUAGAUAUUCGGAAGAACACCAGUGGCGAAGGCGGCUCACUGGCCCGGUACUGACGCUGAGGUGCGAAAGCGUGGGGAGCAAACAGG